AGAGUUUGAUCCUGGCUCAGGAUGAACGCUAGCUACAGGCUUAACACAUGCAAGUCGAGGGGCAGCAUCAUCAAAGCUUGCUUUGAUGGAUGGCGACCGGCGCACGGGUGAGUAACACGUAUCCAACCUGCCGACAACACUGGGAUAGCCUUUCGAAAGAAAGAUUAAUACCGGAUGGCAUAAUUAUUCCGCAUGGGAUAAUUAUUAAAGAAUUUCGGUUGUCGAUGGGGAUGCGUUCCAUUAGGCAGUUGGCGGGGUAACGGCCCACCAAACCUACGAUGGAUAGGGGUUCUGAGAGGAAGGUCCCCCACAUUGGAACUGAGACACGGUCCAAACUCCUACGGGAGGCAGCAGUGAGGAAUAUUGGUCAAUGGACGAGAGUCUGAACCAGCCAAGUAGCGUGAAGGAUGACUGCCCUAUGGGUUGUAAACUUCUUUUAUACGGGAAUAAAGUGAGCCACGUGUGGCUUUUUGUAUGUACCGUAUGAAUAAGGAUCGGCUAACUCCGUGCCAGCAGCCGCGGUAAUACGGAGGAUCCGAGCGUUAUCCGGAUUUAUUGGGUUUAAAGGGAGCGUAGGCGGGUUGUUAAGUCAGUUGUGAAAGUUUGCGGCUCAACCGUAAAAUUGCAGUUGAUACUGGCGACCUUGAGUGCAACAGAGGUAGGCGGAAUUCGUGGUGUAGCGGUGAAAUGCUUAGAUAUCACGAAGAACUCCGAUUGCGAAGGCAGCUUACUGGAUUGUAACUGACGCUGAUGCUCGAAAGUGUGGGUAUCAAACAGGAUUAGAUACCCUGGUAGUCCACACAGUAAACGAUGAAUACUCGCUGUUUGCGAUAUACAGUAAGCGGCCAAGCGAAAGCAUUAAGUAUUCCACCUGGGGAGUACGCCGGCAACGGUGAAACUCAAAGGAAU
rnacentral:rRNA from 1 species